GAGCGAAACUCUGUCUGAAAUAAUAGUAAUAAUAAAUAAAAUUUUAAAAAAUAAAAAUUAGAAGAUGAUUGCUGGAGCUAGAUGCUGAAGGACGUAGGAAUAUUCAGGAAAGAACUAAUCACAGAUUUGUGCUGAACAGGAGCAAAGACUUUAGUUUAUUGGAACCCAUGGAGGACAGGUGAAUAUGUCAACAAGUUUGGAAGUCAAGGCCAUUAUUCUCAAUGGCUUCAUUUUUUUUUUCAGGGACGUAUGAGUUAAGAACAUUGGAUGAGAUUUAGGGAUAGAAACUAAGGUGAGAUGCUUGAGAAUUGCUACCAAAUGGGAGCCAACUAGGGAGCAUAUGGGAGACCUAGCUGAAGCAGAGGCCCGUGCAUUUGUAACGGGGCCAAUCAGCACAAUUGUAUGAUUUUCCACUGGAGCGUCUGGAAGCUUGGAAGGAAAGGCUGAGUAAACAGAGUAUUGGAUUGAUCUCGUAUUGGGAGUUGGCAGGGUUAGUCAGGGUGGAGGGCAGGGAGUUGAGGGGAUGGAGGAUGGAAAGGAAAUGAGUAACCAUUAGCUGGUGAGGAAGAAAGGAAAGCCAGAGGAGGAGUGAAGUAAUGUACGGGGAGCAUUGCCAGGAUUGGAAGGAUGGAAGACUCUGCCAGAUAUAAGACCUUCAGCCUACUCCAUCCAAGGCAUCCAUCUGUCUUCAGAAGAGAUUAGAAUUUUGUUCUGAAGCCAUGCAAAGAGUAAGACCAAGUGCUAACAUCCAAUUUGCAUGUGCCGGGAGAGAAAAUUCUUCAUGGAUCUCUGGUGCUCCUACACAUCUCACUGAUGGAGUAACUGGGGCCAAGGGAGAUUACCAACUUGCCCAAGAUGUCAACAUUAGUAAGAGAAAGAGCCAAAUUUCAAACUCAGGUAGUUUGACUCUACAAUCUGCUAUCUCAACCAGAUUUCCAGCCCAGCUCUUCUCAGUCUUGACACACUGUUUUUCUCAUCAAAGAAUGAUUAACCAUAUUAUUUUGGAAUUGCCUAGGUAAAACUUCCACAUGGCCUGGACAAGACCUCGGAGGUGAUAAAAAUCUUGUAUGACCCUGGGAUUCUCAGAUUUGAAAUCAGAAGGCUCGCUAUUUCAGAAUAAACACAAAGCUAAUAUAGAUAUAGUUGAAAAUUUACAGCCCAAACUUAGACUUAGUUUUGCUUAGCAACUGGACCAAAAUAAUAAACAAGAAGAGAAAUACCUGUUCUCCAGCGAUUUCAUAAAUCUGCCUUCAGUAUAAAUUUUGCAGACAACAUUAAAGAAAGACCUUUGGAGUAGAGCCAAGCCUUUGAAAACCCACUUUAACCUUGUGCUUGGCACUGUGCUAUAAAAAGUUUACUGUGACCUUCCAAAGAAACUGUAAGGGGCCAUUUUGUGGCUCUUAUCUUUUUUUGUUCUCCAUCCCCAGUCUUCUUAAUUACAUUUUCACAUGAACUCUGUGGGUAUUAAAUGAAGCUGGGUCCAUUCAGUAUUUCUGUUCAAUCUUCUCAGAAAAUUGGUUCUGUUUUCUUUGGGCAAUCUAUAGGCAGUUUCUGAUGCAUUUCUCUACCAUUCUGGUAAUGUAUUUAUUUCCCCAGCCAUUUUUCAUAGGGGACACUUCCACCAGUUUAUUUUUUUUUUUUC
rnacentral:lncRNA from 1 species